rnacentral:lncRNA from 1 species
CAUCGUGUUACAGAAAUCAUGUUUUUAAUAAACCAAAAUAUUCAGAUAAUGUCAGAAUGUAAUAACAGUGGUAUUCUCUGAUCUGUCCAUAAUCUGUGAGGCUUUGGCAGUGAACGAACAAAACAAUGCAGUGUGAGAACAAUUACUGAAGACUUUCUCCGUGAAACAGACUUUAAGUAACUUUAACAACUUGCAUGCACUAAAAGAGUAAUAUCUCAGAAUGGAUCUGGUUCUCUUCCUAUUUCUUCAUGUAUUUCUGUGUAGAGUUUGUCUCCUCCCUCAUCUCUUCUUGAAGUGUGAAGCGCAGGAAGUGUCUGGUUUAGUUAAACCAGUCUGUUAAUGUGUCAGUAUGGGGUCCAGUGCACUGUCUCUCACACUCUUGCUGAUGUCCUUCAUCCACUCUGGACUCACUCAAGCUUUACCCAGAUCUACACUGACUGUGACACCAGACACAGUAUUCACUGGAGAGAGAGUGAGUCUGAAGUGUGAGAUUGAGUCUCACAGAGACUGGAGAUAUGAGUGGUGGAAAGGACACACAUACAUUCAAGUGUCACAGACGUCUGAGCUCACUAUUGAACGAGCUAAAACAUCUGAUGCGGGUCUGUACUGGUGUAGAGGACAGAGAGAUGGAGGAUCAGUCUCAUCACAAUCAAACUCUGUUUAUCUCUCAGUGAAGGAUUUACCAACAUCUAAACUGACUGUGACUCCAAACAGUGUAUUCACUGGAGAGAGAGUGAUUCUGACGUGUGAGAUAACACCUCAUUACAGUGUCUGGAGAUAUGAGUGGAAUAAAGACAACACUGAAGUUUCUGAGAGUUACACAAACACUCUCACUAUUGAACAAUCUAAAACAUCUGAUGCGGGUCGGUACACGUGUAAAGCACACAUAGAUGGAAGAUCAGUCUCAUCACAAUCAAGCUCUGCUGUUUAUCUCUCAGUGGAGGCUUUACCCAGAUCUACACUGACUGUGACUCCAGACAGUCCUGUAUUCACUGGAGAGAGAGUGAUUCUGACGUGUGAGAUAACAUCUUAUUACAGUGACUGGAGAUAUGAGUGGUAUAAAGGCAGUGUAAUGUUACAGACGUCUGAGCGUUACACUGUAAACACUGACACUCUCACUAUCAGAGGAGCUACUGAGUCUGAUGCGGGUCAGUUCUGGUGUAGAGGAGAGAGAGAUAAAAGACCAAAAUCAUCACAAUCAAGCUCUGUUUCUCUCACUGUUAAGGAUUUACCCAGAUCUACACUGACUGUGACACCAGACAGUCCUGUAUUCACUGGAGAGACAGUCAAUCUGACGUGUGUAAUAAACUCUGAUCACAGUGACUGGAAAUAUGAGUGGUAUAAAGGUACAAACAACAGUGUAAAGUUACAGACGUCUGAGCGUUACACCAUAGACAGAGACACACUCACUAUCAGAGGAGUGAAUGAGUCUGAUCAGGAUCAGUUCUGGUGUAGAGGACAGAGAGAUGGAAGACCAAACUCAUCACAGGAGAGUGAACGAAUAAAUCUGUCUGUUAAUGUCUCAGCAGCUUCAUCUUCUCUUCUGGUCACUGGUGUGGUUGUGGGAUUGAGUGUUUGUCUGUUGUUCUUCCUCUCACUGCUGCUGAUGUGGAGAUACAAGAAGAACAAAGGUGUGGAGCAGUUCAGAACAUGA